GACAGAGGUGCCAAGCGUUAGGCGGAAUCACUGGGCUUAAAGCGUGUGUAGGCGGGGCGUUAAGUACCUUGUGAAAUCCCCCGGCUCAACCGGGGAACGGCUGGGUAUACUGGCGAUCUUGAGCCACCUAGGGGCAGUCGGAACAAGUGGUGGAGCGGUGAAAUGCGUAGAUAUCACUUGGAACGCAAUGGUGAAAACAGACUGCUGGGGGUGUGCUGACGCUGAGACACGAAAGCCAGGGGAGCAAACGGG
rnacentral:rRNA from 1 species